AAAAAAACAACAACAACAUGUUUUGUAUUCCUCAGGUGGUUGGGAUUUUCUCCCUUUGCCCCUCUGCUAGCAAUUGAAGGAGAAUUUACAGCGGAACUGUCCAUGGUGCUGAAACACGUUUUGCAUCUAUCAAGCUAGCCAUUCGAACCAAGGACCUCACAACCUUUUGUCCUGAUCGAGUUGUCACUCUUGUCAGCGUUGUCCCUUGCCUGACCGCCAUGCUGUGUGAUGAGGAAGAAUCUCUGCGUGAUGUCUGCCAUCUGGAGUUCGCAGCCUUUCAUCAUCACUCCACCUGGUUGUGAAAUUCCAGCUGCAUCCCGCUUCGUGGCCUCCGUCGGCCAUUUGCGAAGUCUAGACACCUCUGCGCCCGUGGCAAGAACGUUGGCCGUGUCACCAGUCAAGAAAGAAAAAUCUCAUUUGACACGAAACGGGAGAAUCUGCUCAGACCAUCAGUCCUCGCCGGUUGUUAAUUAGCCAUCUUUCCCUGGAUUCACUUCACUUCUUUCAGAUUUUCAGUCCAGUGGAAAGAAGUUCCGUGAUAUUAAAGCCAAAGCCUCAAAGACACAAUCUUAAACAGG